GUCACGAUCACACUUCACAGAAUCAAGACGUUGUUUACAUCUGAGGAUCAUGGGUCGAGUAGUUGGUGUGAUGGCCGCCGUGUUGCUGGUGGCGCUGGUGGCCGCUGCUCCAAACGGCAUCACCUACGUCAACAUGUGUUCCUUUGGCGUAACCGUGUGUACGAAUCCUCACCUUGAACUGGAGCGUGUGGGCCCCUGUGAGGACGACCCAGGUACCGAGCAGUGAGAAGGU